GACGAACGCUGGCGGCGUGCUUAACACAUGCAAGUCGAACGGAAAGGCCCUGCUUUUGUGGUGUGCUCGAGUGGCGAACGGGUGAGUAACACGUGAGUAACCUGCCCUUGACUUUGGUAUAACUUCAGGAAACUGGGGCUAAUCCCGGAUAGGAGCUCCUGCUGCAUGGUGGGCGUUGGAACGUUUCGGCGGUUGGGGAUGGACUCGCGGCUUAUCAGCUUGUUGGUGGGGUAGUGGCUUACCAAGGCUUUGACGGGUAGCCGGCCUGAGAGGGUGACCGGGCACAUGGGGACUGAGAGAGGGACCAGAGGCCUACGGGAGGCAGCAGUGGGGAAUAUUGCACAAUGGGAGGAAGCCUGAGGAAGAAACGCCGCGGGCGGGAUGACGGCCUGCGGGUUGUAAAACGCUGUCGCCUGAGACGAAGCGGGAGUGACGGUAAUGGGUAAAGAAGCACCGGCUAACUACGUG
rnacentral:rRNA from 1 species